ensembl:lncRNA
AUUCACUCAAGAUUCUUCUCUGUACUACUCUUACCUAAGAUGAAUCACAAAAGAACAUGUUGAUUGGGCGGAGGAGGAAGGUGGAUGGUUUUAUAAAUGAAGAUGGACUAUAAUAUUAUAAUGUUGUGCUUUUAUUAUGUAUCACAAAAGAAAAAAUUAUCACUAAAGAAGGAGUAGGAAGAAGAAUCUGUGGUCCCUUCAAUUAAUGUAAUGGGGAUCUCAAUUAGCUACAAGAGAGAGUCAGUCGUGCCUGGGCUUGUCUGUUGAAUUGGUGGGAGCAGCUGCCAGAAGCCUGUUUGCAUAUGGAUUGAGGGUCCUCUUGGGAGUGUUCUCAUUCUGAAGGAAGAAGUUGCCUGGCAACAAGAGUUUGACCCAUGGAGACAGCUUUACCCAACAGAGGAGCAAGAAAGCCUGAGUACAGUGUGGUGUCUGUCAUCUAGAUCUGUCUCCCGGCUGGAUGACAUGAAUAUAUGCCUAAGUGCCACAGAGAGUGGGGAGGCUAAAUGGACCAAGUAGAGAAAAAUAAACCUGCUUUACUAAUAUCCAUUUAAAACGGAGUACAAUGCAAUGCUUCAAGAUCCAUCUGAUAGACUAAAAUCCAAAUGGAAGGGAAGUGUUUUCCCCUUUCUUACUAAAAAUCAGUUUGGGUAUGGAGAUGUCACCAAAGCAUUCAUUAUAGUGUGUAUCAGAGCAGCGACAGUACCCGGAGAAGACUUUGAUGCCCAGUGAAGCAUUAAAAAUCAAUACCCAUAGGAUGUGGUAGUAUCCGGUGAUACUAAUUGGGAUAUGUCUGCACCUGUAAUCGCUGAUACGUUUUUUUGAAGAAGAAUUGUGCAAAUUCCUCUGAAAGCCUAGUGUUGUUUCUAUGAAGCCCAAUCACCUGGUAGAAUUCCUGUGGGAAGAUACAUCACUGCUAAUUCUCCUCCCUACCUAGAAAACGUCCAAAAUGUGGGUUAUUCAUGUCAAAGAUAAACAAGGCCAGACACUCGAAGUGAUACACGCCCUGCUCCUAAGACAACCAGUAUCCUCAGCUGCUUUCCAGAUCCCUUUACAGAACAAAUGGGAUUUUCCAGAUGAUUUCCACGCUAUGUGGGAGCCAAGCAAGUCUCUGAGAAGAUCAAGUCACAUCUUCUCUUUGCCGAACUUUGUCAUAGCACUAAUUUUAUUAUUUGUUAUGUUAUUGGGGGAUCCACCUGGAGAGGUGAUCUAAUCUCAAAGUCCCAAAUGAGUAUGCGGAAUUUAGAAAAAUAGAGAACAGUUUAAGAUAAGAGAAAACAAACUGUGUGGCAUUUCAUAAAUAUGAUAGUGCCCAUUACACUUUAAUGGUGGGAUACUGUUACUUAUGUUCAUGUUUAAACCGCACUAGAAGUUAAUCUCCUUAUAGAUCUCAUCUAAACAGUGUAUUUAUUGGAUGAGGUAAACUCAAAAUGUCCUGUCCAGGUACAAAAUUCUAUGAAAAGCAUGCAUAUUUCAGUAAAAGUGAUCACCUUGUCCUGGUUUUCCUGGGGCUUUACUGGUUUGGGCUCUGAAAGUCCAGCGUCCGGGUAACCCCCUCACACCCAGGCAGCCAGGGAUGGCUGGUCACCUUAUUUUCAGCCUGCAUCUGACAAUCCACUCAGCAAUUUAAUAAAGGUAAUUUAAUGUUCUAAGUUUCAAACUAGGAAUCUAAAACAUUGACAACUCAUUCCCAUCAGCACCUUCACUAAAGUUACAGGAGGAUGAACCCCUCUCUCCCUUCUAUCAGUAGGAAGAAGGACAAAAGAUCUUUGCCCUUGAUGGGAAAGACUUAAGACUGUAUAACUAAACAUCAUUUGGGGUAACUCAGAGUCGCCAGUGCUUGAGGAUCACCGUCUGAAACUCAGAUAUUGGAGGUUAAUAAAUAUCUAAUAGAUUUGGCCGACAUUUAUAAAGCAAUAUUUAUUUU